GGAAUAUUGGACAAUGGGCGCAAGCCUGAUCCAGCCAUGCCGCGUGUGUGAAGAAGGCCUUCGGGUUGUAAAGCACUCUCAGCGAGGAGGAAGGGGGUGUUGUUAACAGCAACAAUUUUUGACGUUACCCGCAGAAGAAGCACCGGCUAACUCCGUGCCAGCAGCCGCGGUAAUACGGAGGGUGCAAGCGUUAAUCGGAAUUACUGGGCGUAAAGCGCACGCAGGCGGCUUUUUAAGUCGGAGGUGAAAGCCCCGGGCUCAACCUGGGAAUUGCAUUCGAUACUGGGGAGCUAGAGUAUGUGAGAGGGGGGUAGAAUUCCAAGUGUAGCGGUGAAAUGCGUAGAGAUUUGGAGGAAUACCAGUGGCGAAGGCGGCCCCCUGGCACAAUGCUGACGCUCAGGUGCGAAAGCGUGGGGAGCAAAC
rnacentral:rRNA from 1 species